AUAUUGAGAGUAUAAUGAUUUUUCCAGUGAAAUAAGCAUAUCAUUACCUAAAGGAUAACUUAACAGUGGACUGAUAUAGCUCAAGACUUUUGUUAUUUUUUUGCAUGUGAAGAUACCUUGGAGAUAGGAAUUAAAAAAUUCAUCUCGCAUCGAUGAACUAAAAUCUUUGUAUGGCUAUGAAGCACCAUCCUAUAGCACUGUGAAAAACUGUUACAACGACCAAAAACAGCCGUUGUGCCAGAAAACAUCGACGCCGUACGUGAACUGAUAAUGCAAGACCGUCAUGUAACAUACCUUCAGAUAGAGGUAUGCCUAUGCAUUUCUCCCACCAGCAUACAUUCGAUAUUGCAUGAACACCUGGCCGUAAAAAAGGUUUGUUCUCGUUGGAUCUCGCACAAUUUACAAUCGCUCAAAGAAAGGCUCGUGUGGAUUGGUGUAAAGAAAUGCUGAAAAAAUACGAUCGCGGUGCUUCAAAAGACGUUUAUAAGCCCGAAACAAAACAGCAAUCGACCGUGUGGGUCUUCCAAGACGAGCCAAAUCCAACGAAAGUUGUUCGUGGAAGAAGCACUUCGAAGCAAAUGGUCGCCUGUUUCUUCGGCAAAACUGGUCAUGUGGCGACUGUUCCGCUUGAGUAACGUAGGACGGUCACUUCUGAGUGGUACACCACCAUUUGUUUGCCUGAAGUCUUCGGAGAAAUUCGAAAAACGAACAAGAGAAGACGAAUCAUUGUGCACCAUGACAAUGCGAGCUCUCACACAUCGGCUCAAACCAGCGCCUUUUUGACCGGCCAAAACGUCGAAUUGAUGGGUCAUCCGCCGUACAGCCCUGACUUGGCACCCAAUGACUUCUUUUUAUUCCCACACAUCAAGAAAAUAAUGCGUGGUCAACGAUUUUCGUCGCCAGAAGAUGCUGUUGAAGCAUUCAAAAACCAUGUUUUGGAGGUGUUUCAAUCGGAGUGGAAAAAGUGGAAAAUUGGUUUAGGCGCAUGCAAAAGUGUAUAAAUCUUGAUGGAGAAUAUUUUGAUAAACAAUAAAACCAUUUUCGUUGAUAAAUAUUCCUAUUUUCAUUAGCCCUCGUAUAACAAGAUUGAUAUACAGAAAGAAAAACAGUAUUAAAGCAAAACAUGCAUAUUUAUUUAGUAUAACAUUAUUUUUAAAAUCUAUGAAAUAGUUUGAAAUCAUUUUUCUGUGACCCAAAUUUGCCGUCGUUGCCAUUACAAAAUACAUUCAUUUACAGCCCUAUUCUAAGAAACCCUCUCAACUGAUUUGUGCGGUUUAUUUUGUGAAGUUAUUCUUGCUCAAAUCUCACAAGAAGAAAGCACCACAUGUGGUGAAAAGCACUUUCCUGUGAACCAAUUAUUUUACAAAAAUAAGGAAAUGGACAACCAAGAAAAUUUAGUAGCAGCUGCAGCAUUACAACAUAAAUAUCUUUUUAUCCGCGCAUGUACUAAAUACAUACAUGCAUAUUUACAAAUAAAAUUUUGUCUGAAUUAUAUGAACAUAAAUAUGUUAAUGUCUUUAUAUUCAUACUUAGAAGGAAGUAAAAUGUACAAACACCGUAAGUUACAUAUUUUCAGUAUAGACAAAUACUUAUACAUAUAUACAAUAUAAUAGAUAACGCCUUUGGAAGAAUAUUUUCUCCAUUUUAAUUCAAUAAAAGAAUUGCAAAUUUCUUUAAAAAUAUUAAAAUUAUUAGAACAAACAAACACCUCACAAAUUGGAGAGGAAAUUGUGACCAUUUGAACUUUUGAAGUCUCGUCAGCAUACAAGUAAUAAAAAACUCACAAUAGUGAGGGUGAUGAUUUUUGUUUGUUCAUGAGAAUAGGGCUGUUAAUACCGAUACUGACAGUGAGUAGAAGCCAGAUACAGUAGGUAAUAUUUUCCUUUCAAAAUUGAGCUUGAAAAGAAAAAAAAUGCUUGAAAUUAAAAAUUAUGUACAUAGUUCCACUUAACUACUUGACUUAUGCUGC